rnacentral:rRNA from 1 species
GACGAACGCUGGCGGCGUGCCUAAUACAUGCAAGUCGAACGCAGUGGGGACGGGUGGGUAACACGUGGGUAACCUCCCAUCAGAGGGGAUAACACUUGGAAACAGGUGCUAAACCGAUACUGAUGGAUGGACCCGCGGUGCAUUAGCUAGUUGGUGAUGUAACUGCUCACCAAGGCCACGAUGCAUAGCCGAUCUGGGAGGGUGAUCGGCCACACUAGGACUGAGACACGGCCCAGACUCCUACGGGAGGCAGCAGUAGGGAAUCUGCGGCAAUGGACGAAAGUCUGACCGAGCAGUGCCGCGUGAGUGAAGAAGUUUUUCGGAUCGUAAAACUCUGUUGUUAGAGAAGCGGUAUCUAACCAGAAAGCCACGGCUAACUACGUGCCAGCAGCCGCGGUAAUAC